rnacentral:rRNA from 1 species
AUAUGGGGGGACCAUCCUCCAAGGCUAAAUACUCCUGACUGACCGAUAGUGAACCAGUACCGUGAGGGAAAGGCGAAAAGAACCCCGGCGAGGGGAGUGAAAAAGAACCUGAAACCGUGUACGUACAAGCAGUGGGAGCCUCUUUAUGGGGUGACUGCGUACCUUUUGUAUAAUGGGUCAGCGACUUAUAUUCUGUAGCAAGGUUAACCGAAUAGGGGAGCCGAAGGGAAACCGAGUCUUAACUGGGCGUUAAGUUGCAGGGUAUAGACCCGAAACCCGGUGAUCUAGCCAUGGGCAGGUUGAAGGUUGGGUAACACUAACUGGAGGACCGAACCGACUAAUGUUGAAAAAUUAGCGGAUGACUUGUGGCUGGGGGUGAAAGGCCAAUCAAACCGGGAGAUAGCUGGUUCUCCCCGAAAGCUAUUUAGGUAGCGCCUCGUGAAUUCAUCUCCGGGGGUAGAGCACUGUUUCGGCAAGGGGGUCAUCCCGACUUACCAACCCGAUGCAAACUGCGAAUACCGGAGAAUGUUAUCACGGGAGACACACGGCGGGUGCUAACGUCCGUCGUGAAGAGGGAAACAACCCAGACCGCCAGCUAAGGUCCCAAAGUCAUGGUUAAGUGGGAAACGAUGUGGGAAGGCCCAGACAGCCAGGAUGUUGGCUUAGAAGCAGCCAUCAUUUAAAGAAAGCGUAAUAGCUCACUGGUCGAGUCGGCCUGCGCGGAAGAUGUAACGGGGCUAAACCAUG